rnacentral:lncRNA from 1 species
GAGCCAAUCGCUGCGUGCCACGCACUUAAGUGAAACGCGGCGUUUCACUUAAGUGGCGCCUCUAUUUGAAAUGUCCAGGGGAUCGAUUCCCCGCUCCACACAAAUUCCAAUUGCCUUGUGUAUUUUCUUUCAUAUAUGCUUAUCAUGUUCAUGCUUCCAUUUCACAUUUUUUUAUUUUUUCUUCCACAUGAAAAAUCCAUAACUCUCUCAAUAAUAAUCCAUUUCACAUGAGAUUUUUUCCACCAUAAUCCUUGUGAUGUCCUUUAUUUUUUGAUGAUU